UGAGUAACGCGUGGGUAACCUGCCCUUAAGUCUGGGAUACCAUUUGGAAACAGAUGCUAAUACCGGAUAAAAGCUACUUUCGCAUGAAAGAAGUUUAAAAGGCGGCGUAAGCUGUAGCUAAAGGAUGGACCUGCGAUGCAUUAGCUAGUUGGUAAGGUAACGGCUUACCAAGGCGAUGAUGCAUAGCCGAGUUGAGAGACUGAUCGGCCACAUUGGGACUGAGACACGGCCCAAACUCCUACGGGAGGCAGCAGCC
rnacentral:rRNA from 1 species